rnacentral:rRNA from 1 species
AGAAUCAACGCUGGCGGCGUGCCUAACACAUGCAAGUCGCACGAGAAAGGGGAGCAAUCCCUGAGUAAAGUGGCGCACGGGUGAGUAACACGUGAAUUAUCUACCUCCGAGUGGGGAAUAACCAAAAGAAAUUUUGGCUAAUACCGCAUAACACUUACGAGUCAAAGCAGCAAUGCGCUUGGAGAGGAGUUCGCGGCAGAUUAGCUAGUUGGCGGGGUAAUGGCCCACCAAGGCGAUGAUCUGUA